UCCCGCGCGCGGCGCGUUCCCACGGCGCGGGCGGGCGAAUGAAUGGGCGCGCGCGGAGGGCCCCGCACGGCUCGGUACGGCCCCAUAAUGCUCCGCACGGCUCGGUACGGCCCGGUAAUGCUCCGCACGGCUCGCCCCUCGCGGGACACGCGGCCGCUCCCGGCCCGCGCCGGAGACGUGGACUGAACUUUGGUCCCCAAGCAAUUAAGGUGCCUGAAACUGCACUUCAUUAAUGAUUGUUCCGCAAUAAAACCCAUCAAACUGCCCUUAUUUGCAAUAUAAAACCGCAAUUUGUUUUAA